rnacentral:lncRNA from 1 species
AUUCUGGGGAAGGUAGGCAGAAAAGCACCGGAAAGAGUCACCAUGUAAACAGCAAAGAAGUAGCAGGUCCAGGCAUUCUCCGAGGGGACCAGGCCGACUCCUUCAAAUCUCGUAAGAAGACAGAACAACAGAGUAGAACAAUAAGGAGACGGUGAGAGUUACCAACCACGACUCAGGUGUCAGGAUGCCACAGCAGACAGAUUUGGCAUGGAUCAAGUAAGAAAUGAGUGACAGCGUUAGUGGACUCAGGAGAGCACUGUUGUCCGCGAUAAGACUUUGUCCGUUUCCUAGUCAUGAAAGCAGCCAUUGAGACAUUCUUAUAGUAACAUCUAGACAAAGGAUCUGAAAGCCCAGAGGAAACAGAAAUGUGCACGUAUCCUUUCCCUCCACUUUCAUCUCAGGACACAAGCCGGGGAGUGAAAAGGCUGCAGGUAUUCACCAUUGUCCCCAGGCGAGGUCACAGAAGGAUGAGUCAGAGUGGCUUCUGUUACCCAGACAGGAAAGCGCGUGAGAGCCAACAGCCACCCAGCCCUGCUCAGCAGAGAGUCUUACUCCCAGGGAAAUGUGGGACCAGGCUGCAAAGUUGGGAAGGGCUGGCAGCAUGCUCUGACCCUGAACUUCACAGGGACAGAGUCUCCUAAUUAGCUGUAGCAAUAACCGAGAACUCCAGGCAAGCAGGUGAAGCCAUUGUGGACUAGAGAAUUCCCUUGUUUAGAAGCCGCAGACCCACCAGCUUGCUGUCUGUACCUGCAGUAAAAAGCAGAAACACUGUGGUCAAGAUGUCGCUUGCUUUCCCCUUCCCACAGUCCUGGGAAAAACCAGGACCCUGGGAGGUUUAUUUAAGCAAUACCUCUUUAAUUCCUUGAUCAGCAUCUAUUGCUCAUUUUCCUGGUCACUGCAACUCAAUUUUCUUUUCCUACCCUUUGUGGGACUGUCACAUUGAAAGAUCUUCAUUUCCUUGACCAGGCAGAAGGCACUGAGGUCAAAUAGAGCCAAUCAGAGAUCCCUUUUCUGGGGACAGAACAGAUCCCCUCCUAAUCAUCAAGGCUCUUCUUCAGCCCUUGUGGAGUAAAAUAUUCCAGUUCCUUCCAAAUGAGAAUUUCUGCAGCAUCCCCCACCUAAAAGUUCCCAGGCGUCCUUCUGAUAAAGCUUUCUUUAUUUAUGGAAAGCAGAGUCCUGCUUCUGUUGCUUGUAGCAGAAAAACCCAAAUUUACUAUUAAUCAUCCAGGGCAAAUGAAUAUGCAAAAAUCAAUGGGAAUAAUUAGCAUUGAUUUGACUGUUGCUAGUAAUUACUGGCAUGCCUGUUAUCCUCUUGUUCUUAUAGCAACCCAGCUACUCAGGGGGUUUCACUGACUUACCUGAGCCUAACCUAACCAGGUGCAUACGUUCAAAUGAGUUUUCACCUAAAUCUCCAGGCUCUUGGAUCAGAGCUCUUCUUCCUGUAAUAUCACCUCUCCUACUGAGUCUCUCUCUCUCUCUCUCUCUCUCUCUCUCUCUCUCUCUCUCUCUCUCUCUGCAAGUGAAACUACAGAACAGGAGGCAGGGCUUAUCCACCUGCCUUACAACUUCUCUGAAGGCAGAAAGAAAAGGGUUUUUUUUUUCUAUCUGUAUUUUUCUGGGUCAGAACCCAACUAGAAGUCUAAGCAUAAGGUUUCUUGCAAGUUCUUCUUCUCCUAAGACGUUGCAGCAUGAGCAAUUGAGCAAAGGAAACCAUCUACAUCUACUCGACACUACGGAUAACUACUCUAGGUUCUGAGAUACUGCAAGAACAAAGCAGACAUGGCUUCAACCUUUAUGAAACUUAUAUACCAGCGAAGAAGGUCUGCUAUAGGUAGAUGAAUGAAUAUUAGAAGACAACCAGGCAGUGACAAAGGCCAUGACAGCAAAGCAGAAUAAAGGUCUGGAGGUCAGCUGGGAGGAGCAUGUUAGACAGGCAGGGAAAGCACAUCUUAGCAAACUGGAAUGAGGUAGAGAGCAUACUGGGAAGAGUUUAAAGACUGGACACACUAUAGGGACUUCAAGUAUACCCAAGGAACAACCAGAGGCCAGAGCUGGCUGAGGAAUGCUGUGGCCACCAAGAAAAGGAUGCAACUCAAAAGAGCCACAGGAAGGACUUCAUGUUUGGUCCCAAGUAUGAUGGAAGAGCUGUGAGAGAAAGGGAGGAGAGGGCAAUGGCAUUUCCUCGUUUUGGAAGUCGUUCUCACUGCUGGAAGUGACCCAAAUGCCCAACAAACAAUGAUCGAAAAAACAAACGCAGUAUGUUCAUACAAUGGAACAUACUGACUUAAAAAAAAAAAAACAAACUACAAUACAAUAAAGCUACAUCCAUUAAAACAGAGUGGCACUGCCUGCCAUACAGAUGUACAUAUAUCCUAAUAAACCUGAUCUGUGGCCAACAGCAGGGAAAAGAGGUCCUCUCAUUAAAGAAGAUCAUGAAAUGAGCAUUCCAGGAGCCCACAUGAUGGAAGUGAAGUACCAAUUCCCACAAGUUGUGUGUGUGACUUCCACGUGUGUGCCGUGGCAUGCACAUACCUACAUACAGGCAUACACACACACACACACACACACACACACACACACACACACACACACAGAGCGAGUGCCAGGAUAGGAUCCAAAGCUACACAGAGAAACCCUGUCUCUAAAAACAAACAAACAAACAAAAAAACAAAAACAAAAAAAUAAUUUUUUAACAAGAAGAAUGUGUAAAAAUUGGAAACCCUAUGUAUUGUAGGAGGGGUGUAAAAUUAUGCAGGGCAAUGAAAAACAGUACGCUGAUUUAUCAGCAGAUUAUUUUUUAAAAAUUACCCAGGCACGCAAUGGUUCUCCUUCUGAUCUACACAAAAUUGAAAGCACCAUCCUUAAGAGAUUCACAUGUCCUGAUGACAACAGCACGACUCACAAUGGCCAAAUGGAAGGAGUGCCCAAUUGCUCAUCAACAGAAGGCUUGGUAAACAAUAUGUGGCUGCAAAGUUAGGUAUUAUUCGGUUUUCAAAAUAAAUUCUGAGAUAUGUUGCAACAUGGGGAAAACUAGAUGACAUCAUGCUAAGAGGCAGAGAUCAGUCACUAAAGACAGCUAUGUGGUUGUACUUCUGUGAGAUGCUGACAGUCCUCAACCUCAUAGAAACGAAAGCAGAGGGUGGUUUUCAGGGCUGCAGGGUAGCUCAUGGGGUGCAAAGUUUCUGUUCUGUAAGGCAGAGUUUCUGUUCUGGCGGCAGAGGGGGCAUCAUUUGCACGAGUCUGAAUUCUCUUAAUGUCACAAUUAUAUACCGAAUAUGGAAAGUUUCAUGUUAUGGGUAUCUCCCCACAAUAAAAUCUUGAUAAAGAAGUGAUAUAUAAUAAUUGCCACAGUAAGGAUGAGCCUCUAAAGCAUUCUGUUAAGCAAAUAAAAAAGCAAGACACACAUGAAAAUAUUUUUACUUUACUUGCAUGAUAUAAUCAGAAUAGGAAAACCCAUAGAGACAGAAAGUAACUAGCUCCAUGGUGCCUGGGCUGGGAGGAGGGAUAAGAGAGGAAUAACUACCUAGCGUUUGUGAGGCUUCCUUCAGGAACAGUGAAAGAGUUCUUAAGAACCAGUGAUGAUUUCACAGUACUGGACUUGUCCUAAAUAUCACUGAUUGUCCACUUUGAAACUGUUAUACUUGUAGAGCUUAUGUUUACAAGGCCCAAAUACUAAAGACAAAUACACUAUUUCAUAAAACCAGAAGAUUCCUCCAGGUGGUGCAUGCAGAGAGGGGAUAGAGAAUCAACACAAGGCCCAUCUUCCUUCCCUAACGCCCAUGGAAAAUAUCCAGUCACCGUUAGCUGUUUAUCGAUGUUAGUAUUUAACCCAUGUGUGUCUUCUGUGGCUCAUUAUCGCAGCUGGUGACAGCAGAGCUUAUCCUUUCUCAGUCCAGAAGGCCGAAAGGUGAGCUCAAUGGUCACUAGAGCAGUUCUCCGAAGUCUCCCUUUCCCCUAGUUUAGGGAUCCAAGCAGCCCGCCCUCAUGAUAUAAUCACCCUCUCAAAGGCUGCACCUCUUAGUCCCUUCAGUUAGAGAAUUGGGAUUACAACAUACGAAGAUUUGAGUGGUGUAAACUCAGCCCUCAAGAAACUGAGGCAGGAGUUCAAGACCAGCCUGGGCUCCAUAGCAAGACUCUGGGAGCACAAGCAUUCAGACAACAACACAUGUCUUCUCUGCUUAUUAGCUAGAUUUUUUCUAUAAAUGCAUCUCUUUUCUUCCUCAAUAUACCUUUUGGGGUUACUUAAAAAUGCAGUUCAUUCAGGUAUGACCGCAUAUAUGCUCAGUGUUUCCUUGCGACUUUAUCCUUUUAGUUCAUGAUUCUAUUGAGAAGGUACACAUGAUUUCAAUUUUUAAAAAGAAGCAGAAAAUAAAAAUAAAACUUAAGAGAGGUCUAUAGAGAUGCUACCAGUUGCGCUCAUUCCUGGCUUAGCAAGCUCUGGGUUUGUAGUGACAAGAUAUACCCUUCAGGCCAAGCGUUGGUGGUGCACGCCUUUAAUCCCAGCACUCGGGAGUCAGAGGCAGGCGGAUCUCUGUGAGUUUGAGGCCAGCCUGGUCUACAGAGCGAGUGCCAGUAUAGGCUCCAAAGCUACACAGAGAAACCCUGUCUUGAAAAACUAUAUAUAUAUAUAUAUAUAUAUAUAUAUAUAUAUAUAUAUAUCCUUCAAUGUAAAACCUGUCCUGAUUGAAAUUAUUUUACAAGGCAUGUGACAAUUCCUCUUUUAAAAAGUGAUAAAUCUCUGUUUGCUAUGGCUGUGAUUUAAAUUAAUAUUCUGACAAAAGCAAAUGAAGAGAGAAAGAGUGCAUUUGGCUCACAAUUCCCAGUGACACCCUCGUAGGGAGUCAAGGCCGUGGGAAUGUGACGCAGCUAGUCACGUUGACAUCCACAGUCAAGGGCAGAGAGCCAUAAAUGCAUGAACACCAGUGCCCAUCUCUUCUUCCCGCUUUACACAGUAUAGGAUCUCCCUGCCCAGGAAAUGGCCCACCCACAAUUAAGAUGGCUCUUCCUGCUAAUGCAAUCAGGAUAAUCCCUCAGAGACAUCCUCAAAGGUCCUUCUCCCGGGUGAUCCUAUAUGCUAUCAGGUAGACAAUUAAAACUAACCACCACAGUCUGGAGCACUGGAAAAUUAGACCACGCCCCAGGGCAAGGGAGUUCCAGGAAUCCCUCCAAGAGUGGAGAGAAUGUAUCUGUUGGCUUUGGUUUUGUUUUAUGGUGUAGGCGGAGAGACCAGGGAUUCCUCAAGCCUAAGGUGUUUCCACUGACAGGAGCUCAUCCCUGGGAAAUCAGCUCCACCCAGAUGGACAAGUGCCAGGCUGAGAUGUUCUGCUUUGUUUGUUUGUUAUUGCUGUGUGGUGCAACGAUGAAUACUUGGAGACUGCUUGUUAUUACUUUAACUGUCCAUUGCCUUCAAGUCCAAGCAUCGCCCUCGCCAAAAAAGACAAAAAAAUAAAUAAAAAAUAAAAAAAAAAAACACCUACACAAUUCUUCCACCCAGUGCUGGCCAAGCUGGCGGAUUCAGAACCUAUUAUACCCAUAGAACAUCACUCCCCUAGAUGCCUUAGUGGGUUCAAGGCCAGUUGCUGAGCCAACAAGGUGGGUACCAGUCCAAGUCAACGGCAAAACCUUGACACCUAGCUCCAUCCAGUCAAAGAUGGCUUCUGAAAGAGGCGUAAGUUAAGCAGUAAGGCAGAUAUGGACUCCAAUGUGCAGUCUGAAUCAACCAGUUGUGUGAUCCUGGGAAAGUUCCCUCUCUUGCUCACUGACCCUCAGUCACCCCAUCUCAAAAUGUAAAUGAUAGUUAAAAACACCUCCCUCACAGAUGGCUCAGAGAUGUCAAAUAAACUAUGAUGUAAAGUUCUUAGCUCUGUGCUGGCACCCAGCAAGGCUCAACUGCUAUUAAGAAGAGCAUUCAAGUGUUGUUGGCAACACGCAAGGGCUUUGUACUGGUUCCAGUGGAUAAUGAUGCAAGGGGCGGGCAUGUGGGCGUCUGGGAAAGCUUUGAGGAGACUGUGGCGCCUGGAUAGUCUUGGAAAAUGAGAUGUCUGCCAGGCAGGGAAGGGCAUUAAGAGGGUGAUGGAAUAUCCGAGUGCCAGGAGUGUGUGGCAUGGGACAGAGCAGUUGGACAGAAUGGAUGUGGCAUAGCAGUCAAGAGAUGGUGAAAACUAGGUAGAGUCCGACCCAACAUCUUUAGUGCAAUUCCAGGGAGCUCAGACUUUACUCAAAUGGGCAUAAAGAAACACCAAGGACAAAUUGGGCUAUUAGAUGCUAAUCUUAGAUAGGUUCUGUGGCCUACAGGUUGGAAGAUGAGCCGGGAUUGAGAAGACAUCCAUAGAGCCCCAGGAAGGACAAGAAAGACCUCCAGACGUCUAUGGUUAUCUAGUAGCAAGCUCUGCCCUCUGAUCUUCAGACAAGCUUUAUUUGUACAAGCAAGAUAUCACCACAGUGCUUUGUUUGCCAUAGAAAAGACUUUUGUCCCUUCUCCCUUUCUCUACCACCUUCUCUCUUCUCCCCAUGCUUUCUGCUCCACCAACCCCUCGUCCCUCCUCUCAUAAUCCAGUUCUGUGGGAACUUGAUCCAGUACCACAUUUCAGGGCUCUGGCCCAAGAAAGAGGAAGAAAAGAAGAUGAGAGAUCAGAUGUCCCUUCGGGUACCAGAAUGAGCUCCAUGGGCAAAUUCAACAAGGAUCUUGGGAUGAGACUUCCUCUCUCUGCCCAUCACUUUGGAUCUUACUUUGCAAGCCUGCUCUAUAGCCAAAGAGCUGACAGCUGCUGAGUUGCUAUCUUCAGUCAUGAAUAGCAACAGAGCAGGAAGGUGACCUACUGCAGGUCACAGAUUGGGUGGACUCUAGGAACAUGGGACCACUGAGGUGGUUUAAAAGAAAAUUGCCCCCAAAAGGAGUGGCACUCUUAGGGAUUGUGGCCUUCUUAGAGGAAGUGCAGCACUGUGGAGGCGGGCUUUGAAGUCUCUUUUGCUCAAGCUUCCCUCAGUGUGACAGCCAGUCAACUUCCUGCUGCUUGCAAGAUGUAGGACACGCAACUAUUUCUCCUGCACCAUGCCUGCCUGCACCAUUCCUGCCAUGAUGAUAAUGGGUUGAACUUAUGAACUGUGAGGCACCACAAUUAAAUGUUUUCUUUAUAAGAUGUGCCAUGGUCAUAGUGUCUUUUCCCAGCAAUAAAAUCCCUAACUAAGAGAACCACAUAAGACGAUCCAUAGAUUCAUGGUGUUCAGAGCAUGGUUUCUGUACUCAAAUGACCAACACAAGUACACUCACCUGAAAGAGUUGUGUUCAGAGUCCUGCGGGGCAAUGAUCUUAAGAACUAAGGUGCUAGCCACACAUGGUAGAAGAGGCCUGGAAUACCAGCACUAAGGAGGCUGAAGUGAAUAGUCACAAGUUCAAGGCCAGCCUUACUACAUAGAUUGAUUUGACUUGAAACAAAUCAAUACAAAAG